AAAGGGUAAUAAAGCGGAACCUUUGUGCGCUUGGUGUUGCACCCAGAAUGGUUUUGGGGAGGGACCUUCUGUCCUCGCCCCCAGAUGCAGUCUGGAUGCGAAUGCCAGCGCACUGUCGGAGUUCUGUUCUGAUGUCACAUUGUGUUUUCCAGUGAGGAUGAAACCUACUGUGGCAUUAAGUGGGACACAUCCUUGCCCAUGAGGUUAUGUGUUGAUAAGAACUUUUCUCAGUCUUUCAAGAUAAGUAAAGCACCAAUUCAGUUAAACAAGCCACUAAAUUAUGGAUGUUUUCUGAGCUGUAGUUGUAUGAAUUUAAUUCUUUUUUUUGCUCUCUUUUUCAAAACAAUUUAGCACAAAUAAAGUUUGAUGUUACAUCUCAGAGUCAUGCCCCAGAGGGGCUCCUCUUCACAGACUGCCUCCCACAGUCUCCUGGAAGUCAGAUGGUCAACCGGAUAGAGCCUUCGGCCGCAGCUGUGAAAGGACUCUCCGUUCCUCUUUUUGCCUGGAUUUUUAUAGGGUUCUGUGAUCCACUUCAUCCCUUCCAGUUUCCCAGACUGUCAAAAUUCACGGAUUUUAAAUGGGGGUAGACACUAAAUCCCCA